AACGAACGCUGGCGGCAGGCCUAACACAUGCAAGUCGAACGCCCUCUUCGGAGGGAGUGGCAGACGGGUGAGUAACGCGUGGGAAUCUACCUAGUGGUGGAGGAUAACUUCGGGAAACCGGAGCUAAUACUCCAUAAGCCCUUCGGGGGAAAGUUUUUUCGCCAUUAGAUGAGCCCGCGUUAGAUUAGCUUGUUGGUAGGGUAAUGGCCUACCAAGGCGACGAUCUAUAGCUGGUCUGAGAGGAUGAUCAGCCACACUGGAACUGAGACACGGUCCAGACUCCUACGGGAGGCAGCAGUGGGGAAUAUUGCACAAUGGGCGCAAGCCUGAUGCAGCCAUGCCGCGUGUGUGAUGAAGGCCUUAGGGUUGUAAAACACUUUCAUCGGUGAAGAUAAUGACGGUAGCCGAAGAAGAAGCCCCGGCUAACUCCG
rnacentral:rRNA from 1 species